AUGGAGUAUUCAGAUACAGUAAAGUACCAUGGAGUUCCUCAAGAUGCUAUCAAGUGCAUGCUGUUCACAUUCUCUCUCCGAGAUGAUGCUCGUGCUUGGUAUCGAUCCUUGCCAUCAAGAUCAUUCGGUUGGAAUGAGAUAUCACGAGCUUUCUUGGAUAAAUAUUUCCCACUACACAAGCAGUCCGCAAUUCGAGAUGAAAUCUUCAAUUUCGUUCAGCGUGAAGCGGGUGGAGCUAUUACAAACAAGACACUUGAUGAAGCUUUUCUGCUGAUUGAGAGCAUAGCUUUCCACCAACUUCAGUGGUACAAUAAGAAGCCCACGUCUGAUUCAUUGGUUUGCUUGCAACAAAUCACUACACCUCAGCCACCAAUUCUUACACAGAAGCCUGAACCUCUAUCUCAGUGUGACAAGAUUGAGCUUGCAUGGAUUAUCUUUGACGAUGAUGACACCAUUCUAGUUGACACACACGCUACAGAUCAUAUGGAUACUAGUGUUGGAGAUUCAGUUUUGCAUUGUGAUGAUUCUUCCAUGGAUGAGCCAGAGCUGCAGUUAGUUGUUUUUGAUAUUGAGGAGUCACCUUUAGUUGAUAUUGAUCAUGUGCUGCUAGAGCCAGACAUGGAGAAGUUCACCUUCGAUGAUGUUAGCCGCAUUGCUUCCUCAACACUUGAGCCUGAGAUGGAGAGCUUCAUGGUUGAGUAUGGUGAGGUGGAUUCAGAUGUCAAGGAGCCAAGCUCUACUAUUUCACUUGUUGACACGAGUCCGGUUGAAAUUUCUACUACCACACCUCACUUGGUAUCUUCAAUUGAGGUAGUCCUGAAGCUUCUUCCUAACUAUCUCAGGUAUGAUCUCAGCUUUCUGGACAAGACAUGUCAUAUCGCUGAUAUUGCCUAUGCCCCAUGUGACUUGUUGUUGAUACAUGUUCCUGAUUUGAUCAAUAGAUAUACUUAUAUGAUAGGGUACUCUAUCGAUGACUUAGAGGGCAUUCUCUCUGUCACUGUAUUGGCUUGGUUGUUGAGUGUUCUUUCAGGUUGA
rnacentral:rRNA from 1 species